rnacentral:rRNA from 1 species
AGCGAAUAGAUACCCAGGUAGUCCUAGCCGUAAACGAUACUCGCUAGGUGUCGGCCACGGUGCGACCGUUGUCGGUGCCGUAGGGAAAGCCGUGAAGCGAGCCACCUGGGAAGUACGGCCGCAAGGCUGAAACUUAAAGGAAUUGGCGGGGGAGCACCACAACGGGUGGAGCUUGCGGUUUAAAUUGGAUUCAACGCCGGAAAUCUUACCGGGACCGACAGCAAUAUGAAGGCCAGGCUGAAGACUUUGCCGGAUUAGCUGAGAGGUGGUGCAUGGCCGUCGUCAGUUCGUACUGUGAAGCAUCCUGUUAAGUCAGGCAACGAGCGAGACCCACGCCCACAGUUGCCAGCGUACUCUCUGGAGUGACGGGUACACUGUGGGGACCGCCGCUGCUAAAGCGGAGGAAGGAAUGGGCAACGGUAGGUCAGUAUGCCCCGAAUAUCCCGGGCUACACGCGAGCUACAAUGGUUGGUACAAUGGGUAUCUACCCGAAAGGGACGGGAAUCUCCUAAAACCAAUCUUAGUUCGGAUUGAGGGCUGCAACUCGCCCUC